CUACCAUGCAGUCGAACGGCAGCACAGAGGAGCUUGCUCCUUGGGUGGCGAGUGGCGGACGGGUGAGGAAUACAUCGGAAUCUACUCUGUCGUGGGGGAUAACGUAGGGAAACUUACGCUAAUACCGCAUACGACCUACGGGUGAAAGCAGGGGAUCUUCGGACCUUGCGCGAUUGAAUGAGCCGAUGUCGGAUUAGCUAGUUGGCGGGGUAAAGGCCCACCAAGGCGACGAUCCGUAGCUGGUCUGAGAGGAUGAUCAGCCACACUGGAACUGAGACACGGUCCAGACUCCUACGGGAGGCAGCAGUGGGGAAUAUUGGACAAUGGGCGCAAGCCUGAUCCAGCCAUACCGCGUGGGUGAAGAAGGCCUUCGGGUUGUAAAGCCCUUUUGUUGGGAAAGAAAUCCAGCUGGCUAAUACCCGGUUGGGAUGACGGUACCCAAAGAAUAAGCACCGGCUAACUUCGUGCCAGCAGCCGCGGUAAUACGAAGGGUGCAAGCGUUACUCGGAAUUACUGGGCGUAAAGCGUGCGUAGGUGGUCGUUUAAGUCCGUUGUGAAAGCCCUGGGCUCAACCUGGGAACUGCAGUGGAUACUGGGCGACUAGAGUGUGGUAGAGGGUAGCGGAAUUCCUGGUGUAGCAGUGAAAUGCGUAGAGAUCAGGAGGAACAUCCNUGGCGAAGGCAGCUACCUGGACCAACACUGACACUGAGGCACGAAAAGCGUGGGGAGCAAACAGGAUUANAUACCCUGGUAGUCCACGCCCUAAACGAUGCGAACUGGAUGUUGGG
rnacentral:rRNA from 1 species